rnacentral:rRNA from 1 species
GAUGAACGCUAGCUACAGGCUUAACACAUGCAAGUCGAGGGGAAACGACGUCGAAAGCUUGCUUUUGAUGGGCGUCGACCGGCGCACGGGUGAGUAACGCGUAUCCAACCUGCCCACCACUUGGGGAUAACCUUGCGAAAGUAAGACUAAUACCCAAUGACGUCGCUAGAAGACAUCUGAAAGAGAUUAAAGAUUUAUCGGUGAUGGAUGGGGAUGCGUCUGAUUAACUUGUUGGCGGGGUAACGGCCCACCAAGGCGACGAUCAGUAGGGGUUCUGAGAGGAAGGUCCCCCACAUUGGAACUGAGACACGGUCCAAACUCCUACGGGAGGCAGCAGUGAGGAAUAUUGGUCAAUGGGCGAGAGCCUGAACCAGCCAAGUAGCGUGCAGGAUGACGGCCCUAUGGGUUGUAAACUGCUUUUAUAAGGGAAUAAAGUGAGUCUCGUGAGACUUUUUGCAUGUACCUUAUGAAUAAGGACCGGCUAAUUCCGUGCCAGCCGCCGCUGUAA